UCUGGUGGCUAUAACGGAGAGGAAACACCUGUUCCCAU
rnacentral:rRNA from 1 species